rnacentral:rRNA from 1 species
AGCUCCAAUAGCGUAUAUUAAAGUUGUUGCAGUUAAAAAGCUCGUAGUUGGAUUUCUGGUAUGACACGCUCGGCCCACCGAAUGGUGGCGCUGAAGCGAGUCUACCAUCCUUCUAGAGAACGUGUUUACCCUUAAUUGGGCCGAGCUCGCGAUCUAGAUCUUUUACUUUGAAAAAAUUAGAGUGUUUAAAGCAGGCAAUCUUGCUAUGAAUACAUUAGCAUGGAAUAAUAAUUUAGGACUUUGGUUCUAUUUUGUUGGUUUCUAGAACUGAAGUAAUGAUUGAUAGGGAUAGUUGGGGGUGCUAGUAUUCAGCGGCCAGAGGUGAAAUUCUUGGAUUCGCUGAAGACUAACUUAUGCGAAAGCAUUCACCAAGGAUGUCUUCUUUAAUCAAGAACGAAAG